AGAGUUUGAUCCUGGCUCAGGACGAACGCUGGCGGCGUGCCUAACACAUGCAAGUCGAGCGGGGACUAUGGAGGAGUAAUCUGAGAUAGUUCGAGCGGCGGACGGGUGAGUAACGCGUGAGCAACCUGUCCUUGUCUGGGGGAUAAGGAGCCGAAAGGCUCUCUAAUACCGCAUGAGACCACAGCGCCACAUGGUGCAGAGGUCAAAGGAGAAAUCCGGACAAGGGUGGGCUCGCGUCUGAUUAGCUAGUUGGUGGGGUAACAGCUUACCAAGGCAACGAUCAGUAGCCGACCUGAGAGGGUGAUCGGCCACAUUGGAACUGAGACACGGUCCAAACUCCUACGGGAGGCAGCAGUGGGAAUAUUGGGCAAUGGGCGAAAGCCUGACCCAGCAACGCCGCGUGAAGGAAGAAGGUUUUCGGAUCGUAAACUUCUAUCCUAGGUGAAGAUAAUGACGGUAGCCUAGAAGGAAGCCCCGGCUAACUACGUGCCAGCAGCCGCGGUAAUACGUAGGGGGCAAGCGUUGUCCGGAAUGAUUGGGCGUAAAGGGCGCGUAGGCGGCCAUGUAAGUCCGACGUGAAAGUCCUACUUUUAAGGUGGGAAUUGCGUUGGAAACUGCGUGGCUUGAGUGCAGGGGAGGUAAGUGGAAUUCCCGGUGUAGCGGUGAAAUGCGUAGAGAUCGGGAGGAACACCAGUGGCGAAGGCGACUUACUGGACUGUAACUGACGCUGAGGCGCGAAAGUGUGGGGAGCAAACAGGAUUAGAUACCCUGGUAGUCCACACUGUAAACGAUGAAUGCUAGGUGUAGGGGGUAUCGACCCCUUCUGUGCCGGAGUAAACACAAUAAGCAUUCCGCCUGGGGAGUACGGCCGCAAGGUUGAAACUCAAAGGAAUUGACGGGGGCCCGCACAAGCAGCGGAGCAUGUUGUUUAAUUCGAAGCAACGCGAAGAACCUUACCAGGUCUUGACAUCCAGUAAAACCCGUAGAGAUACGGUGUGAGCUUGCUCAUACUGAGACAGGUGGUGCAUGGUUGUCGCCAGCUCGUGUCGUGAGAUGUUGGGUUAAGUCCCGCAACGAGCGCAACCCUUGUGAUUAGUUACUAACGCGUAAAGGCGAGGACUCUAAUAAGACUGCCGGGACAACUCGGAGGAAGGUGGGGACGACGUCAAAUCAUCAUGCCCCUUAUGACCCGGGCUACAAACGUGCUACAAUGGCCACUACAGAGAGCUGCGAAGUCGCAAGGCUAAGCGAAUCUCAUAAAAGUGGUCCCAGUUCGGAUUGUGGGCUGCAACCCGCCCACAUGAAGCCGGAGUUGCUAGUAAUCGCGGAUCAGCAUGCCGCGGUGAAUACGUUCCCGGGCCUUGUACACACCGCCCGUCACACCAUGGGAGUUAAUAGCGCCCGAAGUCGGUGAGGCAACCGUAAGGAGCCAGCCGCCGAAGGUGAGAUCAAUGACUGGGGUGAAGUCGUAACAAGGUA
rnacentral:rRNA from 1 species